rnacentral:lncRNA from 1 species
CAUGUGAAUCAGGCAUGUUUACGCAUGCUUUUUGAGACUGGGCUCUUUUCAAUUCAUAGAGUGAAAAAAAAACCUGAAGGUUGCACAGUCGUGUAAGAAUCAAUUUCCCUUGUAGCAGGCUAUUUUCCUCUUCUGCUUCAGAGUGUGGCACUGCACCCUGAGGAGCCCUCAUGUGGACAGUCUAGCGAAGAAGAGAGCAAGAUGGCUCAAAUGCUCCUUCUGCGUAAAAUCAACUAGGGAAAUGAUCAUGUAAGUAAGCAGAGAAGAAAGCUGCAGACUGUAGAAGCUCAGAUGUGUUUAGGUGAUGAAAUCUUCCCCAUAGGCCUUGUGAGGAAGCAUUUCAUCUUGAGUAUCAAGAGCUGACUUGGGUGUGGAGAAUGACUCCUUCCCAGUUUUCCAGAAACAUCAACAAAACCCCUCUUGUUUGCAACAACAAGGAUAUGCUCAUUUAAAUUAAGUUGAUCUCUGGAGACGGAUGGACAUGACUUACACCAAGCCUGCCCUGGGCAGCAGAUGCAUCCAGAACUUAACAUCAUUGAUACCAGUCUCUCUCAAUGAUGUUUUCUUGAAAGUACUUUUUAUCAGGUCUGGUGACUGAACAGGGAAACAAGGAGACCUUUGAUGGCCCUCAGCGGCAACGAGCAACAGCAGCGAAGGUGCCUGAGGAAUCCCUUGAGUCGCUGCUUCCUCACUGCCUCUGGAGGUGGUGGGUAAGUUUCCUCCAAUCCUCCAUCCAUGAUUGUGUGUUAGGAGUGUUCACUGUUUUGAGCAUUUUUGCAUUUUGAGCAUUUUUUUUUCCUGUGGCCUGGAUCCCCAAACUGGCCUGAGUUGGGUGCCGUGGGACAUAGAGAUAGGACUGUUUCUAGUGACAAGCCUGGUCCGACCCCUAAACCAGACCCGGUGGAGGAUCAGGCCGGGUCCAAUUUACGCUGGAUUGGGUCCAGAAUAAGG